rnacentral:rRNA from 1 species
CCUACGGGUGGCAGCAGUGAGGAAUAUUGGUCAAUGGACGAGAGUCUGAACCAGCCAAGUAGCGUGAAGGAUGACUGCCCUAUGGGUUGUAAACUUCUUUUAUAUGGGAAUAAAAUGUUCCACGUGUGGGAUUUUGUAUGUACCAUAUGAAUAAGGAUCGGCUAACUCCGUGCCAGCAGCCGCGGUAAUACGGAGGAUGCGAGCGUUAUCCGGAUUUAUUGGGUUUAAAGGGUGCGCAGGCGGGAGAUCAAGUCAGCGGUAAAAUGUCGGGGCUCAACCCCGGCCGGCCGUUGAAACUGGUUUUCUAGAGUUGGAGAGAAGUAUGCGGAAUUCGUGGUGUAGCGGUGAAAUGCAUAGAUAUCACGAAGAACUCCGAUUGCGAAGGCAGCAUACCGGCUCCAUACUGACGCUGAGGCACGAAAGCGUGGGGAUCGAACAGGAUUAGAUACCCCUGUAGUC